rnacentral:rRNA from 1 species
CAGUGGGGAAUAUUGGACAAUGGGCGCAAGCCUGAUCCAGCCAUGCCGCGUGAGUGAUGAAGGCCCUAGGGUUGUAAAGCUCUUUCACCGGUGAAGAUAAUGACGGUAACCGGAGAAGAAGCCCCGGCUAACUUCGUGCCAGCAGCCGCGGUAAUACGAAGGGGGCUAGCGUUGUUCGGAUUUACUGGGCGUAAAGCGCACGUAGGCGGACUUUUAAGUCAGGGGUGAAAUCCCGGGGCUCAACCCCGGAACUGCCUUUGAUACUGGAAGUCUUGAGUAUGGUAGAGGUGAGUGGAAUUCCGAGUGUAGAGGUGAAAUUCGUAGAUAUUCGGAGGAACACCAGUGGCGAAGGCGG